rnacentral:rRNA from 1 species
UACGUAUGGAGCAAGAGUUAUCCGGAUUUACUGGGUGUAAAGGGUGCGUAGGCGGCACAGCAAGUCAGAUGUGAAAGACCGGGGCUCAACCCCGGGGCUGCAUUUGAAACUGCCGAGCUUGAGUCCGGGAGAGGCAGGCGGAAUUCCUAGUGUAGCGGUGAAAUGCGUAGAUAUUAGGAGGAACACCAGUGGCGAAGGCGGCCUGCUGGACCGGAACUGACGCUGAGGCACGAAAGCGUGGGGAGCAAACAGG